CAAGAAAUAAGAAGACCAUUUUGAGAAGAACAGAGAGUAGCCUUAAGAAAAUCCCUGUCGCAUGCACUCUGGGAUUUGGACUCAAAUCCUAAUUAUACAGGGCUAGGAGAAUUGGGAAAGUACCUGGAUUAUCAGCAAGGAUGGUGGGAAGGAGGAAUAUGAGCACACACUGCAAGGUCAGAAAGUCGGACAUGGUGUGGCAUGAUGGCUGGCCUCUUUUCCAUGAUGUCUACCCCAGUUGAUAACCAGAAUUAACCACCAACUCUGUGAGUGAAUGAGCCUUCAGAUGAUUCCAUCCCCUUGACAUUUUCCAUUUGAAGUUGCAAGACAAUAUGAAGGCUCUUAGGAAGGUGGAACCACUCGGGUGCCCAGCUGCCGUCCAUUCUCCACACUUAUCCCACCUGAUGGAACGCUGUUGAGAAAAACAUCACUGCAAUGCGUGAUAAACCAACAUGGGUCCCAGACCCAAUAAGAGUGAAACCAUCCCCCUAUUUAAAUGAAAUUAUGGCUGAUGAGAAAGACAAAUUAAUUUCUCUGCCCCCAAUAUUACACAAAACUUUGGAUGCUGCCAUUGUUACAAUUUUAUUUUCCCUAGGAGCUCAGAGUCCCACCUUCAUUCUUUUUGUUUAAUGCCUAAGCUUGCCUCUCCGCCUGUGGAAGACUAGAAUGAGCAGAGGCCAUGUCUUCAAUGAUCUGUAAAUCUAGCAAGAAACAAGAUAAUAAAUAUAUUGUGUUUUCUAAUCAAAUCUGUGAAUGAUUAGAUUGAUUGGUUAAUGAUUACAUGGAUUAACACAUCAUUUCUAUUUUCUCUCUCCUCCCUUACUUCUUGUUUUAAUGAUACCUUCCAAGUUUUAUUUCUCCAAGCCUCACCCCUUACAUAAUACAAGAGGACAACAAUUUACAAAAUAAAUUUCUAUUGGCCCUAACUGCUAAAUACUGAAAUAGAUUUCAAGUAAUACGAGUGUUUUUGAAACCACCUAAAUCUGGAAGCCACCCUGCAAGGAACAAGGGUUGCAAAGUGAACAAGUCAGACAUGUAAAAAUAAAGAUGACAAAAUGGAAGGCAAUUAAUGCCUGUAAUGGAGGUGGGGAAGAGGGGAAUGACAAGUUAAUAAGAAAUUUAUUUUUAAAUACUUUCUGCCAUAAAAUAUCC